AGCAGAAGCCAUCAUUAGCGC
rnacentral:miRNA from 1 species